CCUACGGGUGGCAGCAGUAGGGAAUAUUGCACAAUGGGGGAAACCCUGAUGCAGCAACGCCGCGUGCGUGAUGAAGUUUUUCGGAUUGUAAAGUGCUAUUAUAAGGGAAGAUGAUGACGGUAUCUGACUAAUAAGCCCCGGCUAACUCCGUGCCAGCAGCCGCGGUAAUACGUAGGGGGCAAGCGUUACACGGAAUGACUGGGUGUAAAGGGUGCGGAGACGGGUGUGUAAGUGUGAUGUGAAAGCCUGUGGCUCAAAAACGGGACUGCAUUGGAAACUACGAGACUGGAGGGUGGGAGAGGUAGGUGGAAUUCCUAGUGGAGGGGGAAAAUUCGUAGAUAUUAAGAAGAA
rnacentral:rRNA from 1 species